CUUGUUGACCUUUUGGCUACUCCCCAAGUGUAGUAUCUGUUCUUAUCAGUUUUUAAUAUCUGAUACGUCCCCUACCCGGGGACCAUAUAUUAAAUUGAUUUUUGGAACUGGGGAGAUGGAAAAGGGCUUGCCCAUCCACUAUAUAUUGUGGUCCAUACAGUACCUCCAGGACCGGUGCACCCCUC
ensembl:snRNA U2 U2 spliceosomal RNA